GACGAACGCUGGCGGCGUGCUUAACACAUGCAAGUCGAACGCUGAAGCUCAGCUUUUGUUGGGUGGAUGAGUGGCGAACGGGUGAGUAACACGUGAGUAACCUGCCCCCUUCUUUGGGGUAACGCCCGGAAACGGGUGCUAAUACUGGAUAUUCACUGGUCUUCGCAUGGGGGUUGGUGGAAAGGGUUUUUCUGGUGGGGGAUGGGCUCGCGGCCUAUCAGCUUGUUGGUGGGGUGAUGGCCUACCAAGGCUUUGACGGGUAGCCGGCCUGAGAGGGUGACCGGGCACGUUGGGACUGAGAUACGGCCCAGACUCCUACGGGAGGCAGCAGUGGGGAAUAUUGCACAAUGGGCGCAAGCCUGAUGCAGCGACGCCGCGUGAGGGAUGGAGGCCUUCGGGUUGUGAGCCUCUUUCGCUCAUGGUCAAGCCGCAACAAUGGUUGUGGUGAGGGUAGUGGGUAAAGAAGCGCCGGCUAACUACGUG
rnacentral:rRNA from 1 species